GGAUCAGCGGCGCGACGGGUGAGUAAUGCCUAUCGAAUCUGCCUGGUAGUGGGGGACAACGUGUUCGAAAGGAACGCUAAGUACCGCAUACGUCCUACGGGAGAAAGCAGGGGACCUUCGGGCCUUGCGCUAUCAGAUGAGCCUAGGUCGGAUUAGCUAGUUGGUGGGGUAAAGGCCUACCAAGGCGACGAUCCGUAACUGGUCUGAGAGGAUGAUCAGUCACACUGGAACUGAGACACGGUCCAGACUCCUACGGGAGGCAGCAGUGGGGAAUAUUGGACAAUGGGCGAAAGCCUGAUCCAGCCAUGCCGCGUGUGUGAAGAAGGUCUUCGGAAUUGUAAAGACCACUUUAAGGUUGGGAAGGAAGAAGGGCAGUAAAUGUUAAAUACCCUUGCUGUGUUUGGACGUUACGUUCCAACCAGAAUAAGCCACCGGGCUUAACUUCGUGGCCAGCAGCCCGCGGUUAUAAUACGAAAGGGUGGCAGAGCCGUUAAUUUCGGAUUAUUACUUGGGCGUAUAAAGGCAUUGCGCGUUAGGGUGGUUUGGGUAACGAUGGGAUGUGGAAAUUCUCCCGGGGCUCCCAACCCUGGGGAAAUUGCAUCCCAUAUAACUGCCUGGACCUAGAGUUACGGUAGGAGGGUGGUUGGAAUUUCCUGUGUGUAAGCGGUGAAAAAUGCGUAGGAUGAUAUAGGAAGGGAAUCACCAGUGGGCGAAGGGCGAACCACCUUGGACUGAUACUUGACACUGAUGGUGCGAAAGCGUGGGGGAGCAAACAGGAUUUAGAUACCCCUGGUAGUCCCACGCCGUAAAACGAUGUCGACUAUGCCGUUGGAAUCCUUUGAGAUCUUAAGUGGCGCAAGCUAACCGCGAUUAAGUCCGACCGCCUUGGGGAGUUAACGGCCCGGCAAGGUUUAAAAACUCAAAUUGGAAUUGGACGGGGGCCCCGCACAAGCGCGGUGGAAGCAUGUGGUUUUAAAUUCCGAAGGCAACGCCGCGAAGAACCUUAACCUGGGCCCUUGACAUGUUCCCGGAAUCUUUGCAAGAGAUGGCGGAGAGUGCCUCUUCCGGGAAUCGGAAACCACAGGUGCUUGCAUGGGCCUGUUCGUCAGCUCCCUGUGUCCGUGAAGAUGGUUGGGUUUAAGGUCCCGUAACGAGCGCAACCCUUGUCCUUAGUUACCAGCACGUUAAGGUGGGCACUCUAAGGAGACUGCCGGUGACAAACCGGAGGAAGGUGGGGAUGACGUCAAGUCAUCAUGGCCCUUACGGCCAGGGCUACACACGUGCUACAAUGGUCGGUACAGAGGGUUGCCAAGCCGCGAGGUGGAGCUAAUCCCAUAAAACCGAUCGUAGUCCGGAUCGCAGUCUGCAACUCGACUGCGUGAAGUCGGAAUCGCUAGUAAUCGUGAAUCAGAAUGUCACGGUGAAUACGUUCCCGGGCCUUGUACACACCGCCCGUCACACCAUGGGAGUGGGUUGCUCCAGAAGUAGCUAGUCUAACCGCAAGGGGGACGGUAUCUAUAUUC
rnacentral:rRNA from 1 species